rnacentral:lncRNA from 1 species
AUGUAGGCCCAGGUCCUGGGCGGCACCGCAGCGCGCAGCGCGAGCCCAUUGGUCCAAUUUCCCAGGAACCGCUCUGAGCCCGGCGAGGCGGCGCUCAGUAAAAUGACCCGAAAACGAUCCCCGACUAAGCGGCUCUUUAUCCCACAGCAAAACGGCUUUCUUAAGACCCAUCUGGUAUUAUCUGGAUCCCUUGGCCUGAAAUUUUUGAGUGAGGUUAGGGUUUUGCAUUUCUGAAUCGAAGCAACUAUUGAUUAGCCUGGAAUCCCGACCUAAAGCAAAGGAAAUCACAAGUAUGAAGGCGUCGUCAGUCGGAUAAACACUAGUACUCUGCAUGUGUAAAGCCACUCUCGUCUCCUGAAAAAAGGCCAUGUCCAACGUCAGUAAAACAAGAAUAGGAGGAAAAGGCACAGGGGAAAGGUACAAGGAAAUCUCUGAGAGCUUUGUUCUUGUUUAAAGAUGUUUGGCAAAGUCAUGAGGCGUUAAAGGGUAAAGACG